rnacentral:rRNA from 1 species
UACGAAGGGGGCUAGCGUUGCUCGGAAUCACUGGGCGUAAAGCGCACGUAGGCGGGUCGUUAAGUCAGGGGUGAAAUCCUGGAGCUCAACUCCAGAACUGCCCUUGAUACUGGCGAUCUCGAGUUCGGGAGAGGUGAGUGGAACUGCGAGUGUAGAGGUGAAAUUCGUAGAUAUUCGCAAGAACACCAGUGGCGAAGGCGGCUUCCUGGCCUGUAACUGACGCUGAGACGCGAAAGCGUGGGGAGCGAACCGG